GACGUAGGGCGCGAGCGUUGUCCGGAUUUAUUGGGCGUAAAGAGCUCGUAGGCGGCUUGUCGCGUCGAAUGUGAAAACCCAGGGCUCAACCCUGGGCCUGCAUUCGAUACGGGCAGACUGGAGUACUGCAGGGGAGACUGGAAUUCCUGGUGUAGCGGUGGAAUGCGCAGAUAUCAGGAGGAACACCGGUGGGCGAAGGCGGGUCUCUGGGCAGUAACUGACGCU
rnacentral:rRNA from 1 species